rfam:Dipodomys ordii contig_40245, whole genome shotgun sequence.
AUCAGGGAGUUGAAAGGUUUAUAAAUGUGAGUGUGAUGAUUGGGUCCUCACAUGCCUGUGUGACAUGUGCCUCCCUUGGACCUUGUGGGCACAUUACCUAUGUGAUG